rnacentral:rRNA from 1 species
AGAGUUUGAUCCUGGCUCAGGACGAACGCUGGCGGCGUGCCUAAUACAUGCAAGUCGAGCGGAGUUGAUGGAGAGCUUGCUCUCCUGAGACUUAGCGGCGGACGGGUGAGUAACACGUAGGCAACCUGCCCGUAAGAUCGGGAUAACUACCGGAAACGGUAGCUAAUACUGGAUAAUUUAUCGCUUCGCAUGGAGCGGUAAUGAAAGGCGGAGCAAUCUGUCACUUACGGAUGGGCCUGCGGCGCAUUAGCUAGUUGGUGAGGUAACGGCUCACCAAGGCGACGAUGCGUAGCCGACCUGAGAGGGUGAACGGCCACACUGGGACUGAGACACGGCCCAGACUCCUACGGGAGGCAGCAGUAGGGAAUCUUCCGCAAUGGGCGAAAGCCUGACGGAGCAACGCCGCGUGAGUGAUGAAGGUUUUCGGAUCGUAAAGCUCUGUUGCCAGGGAAGAACGUCGGGUAGAGUAA